GAAUCCGUUUGGUUAUUUUAUAAUAAUACCACACCAUCUUCCUUAUUUACACUUCCAACCUUUUGAUUUUGUAUUUGUUUUUAAUCUGAUAAAAUAUCAGUACACAGUUAACAUACUUUCUCUAGAAAUAAUUACACUCCACCGGGUCUUUUAACCACAAUAAUUGUUAUAAAAAUUAUUCUAGAAAAACAAGAUUCGUAACGUGAAAACAGCUGGGUUCGACGAAUUACAGAUCAAGGUCGAAGAUCUCAAAGGGUUUUAGUUAUGAACGGGAGAACAAAUCGUGGAAAUCCUUUGUUUUUGGAUGCAGGUUUGGGCAUCACACCGGGCACGACCGCAGAAAGUGAUAGUAACAUGUCAAGUGGUGGAUCAAGUAACUCGGCCGAACCUGUGAGUUCAAACUCAAAUGUUUCUUUUCCGGCCGAAUCUGAAGAGGAUGGAAAUUCUUGUGAUGAUGGAAAUCAUGGUUCAGAAGACGAAGCAAUUGUGUUUAACGACAUGAUGGGACAAUAACAAUUGUUGUCGCGUCAUUUUUCGGAGAUCAAUGCUAUUUGAUUAGCUUUUGACUCACUUUAUUAUUUCACGACUGAACAUUUAAUUUUUCAAGAAAAAGGGGGAAAAAAAGUUCAAACUACCC